rnacentral:rRNA from 1 species
ACGGAAUUUACAUGAAGCCUAGCGAUUGUAAAUUUAGUGGCGGACGGGUGAGUAACGCGUGGGUAACCUGCCUUGUACUGGGGGACAACAGUUGGAAACGACUGCUAAUACCGCAUAAGCGCACAGCUUCGCAUGAAGCAGUGUGAAAAACUCCGGUGGUACAAGAUGGACCCGCGUCUGAUUAGCUGGUUGGUGAGGUAACGGCCCACCAAGGCGACGAUCAGUAGCCGGCCUGAGAGGGUGAACGGCCACAUUGGGACUGAGACACGGCCCAAACUCCUACGGGAGGCAGCAGUGGGGAAUAUUGCACAAUGGGGGAAACCCUGAUGCAGCAACGCCGCGUGAGUGAAGAAGUAUUUCGGUAUGUAAAGCUCUAUCAGCAGGAAAGAAAAUGACGGUACCUGACUAAGAAGCCCCGGCUAACUACGUGCCAGCAGCCGCGGUAAUACGUAGGGGGCAAGCGUUAUCCGGAUUUACUGGGUGUAAAGGGAGUGUAGACGGUUUUGCAAGUCUGAAGUGAAAGCCCGGGGCUUAACCCCGGGACUGCUUUGGAAACUGUAGGACUAGAGUGCAGGAGAGGUAAGUGGAAUUCCUAGUGUAGCGGUGAAAUGCGUAGAUAUUAGGAGGAACACCAGUGGCGAAGGCGGCUUACUGGACUGUAACUGACGUUGAGGCC